rnacentral:rRNA from 1 species
CAACUAUACCUCCACUUUUAAUUCUUAUASUAAAGCACUUUCSCAGGGAUGAUAAUGUACAGUACCUGUGUAAAGAAACCCCGGAUCAACUACCGYKCCAGCAGCCGSURGUAAUACGGAGRGGGUUAGCGUUGUUCGGAAUUACUGGGCGUAAAGCGUACGUAGGCGGAUUGGAAAGUUGGRRGUGAAAUCCCAGGSUACAACCCUGGAACURCCUCCAAAACUAUCAGUCUAKAGUUCGUAGUAGUAGGUGUAGUGGAAUUUCYAAGUGUAKAGGUGAAAUUUCGUAGAUAUUUGGAGGAACACCAKUGGCAGAAGMRAGCUCUACUGGCUCGAUACUGACGCUGAGGUACGAAAGAUGUSGGGAGCAAACAGGAWUAGAUACCCUGGUAGUCCACACCGAUAAACGAUGAAUGCCAGUCGUCGGWYAGUAUACUGUUCAKAUGACACACCUAACGKAUUAAGUCAUUCGGCUGGGAGUACGGUC